rnacentral:misc_RNA from 1 species
UCCUCCCGACAUACCUCUUCAGUAGUUGGUUGUUUAGGCUUGUUUUGCCUAGCCAGAUUGUCGGUUUCUGUGUUGCCUACCUAAGCCAUGGUAUUGUCCUGGUUGAUCUUAGUUGCUUUCGUCCUGUGUCAUUUUAUGGCAUSGGAUGGACCAUGAAGCAGCCUCUUUGAUCCACAUCAUGGCCGUAUGCGUUCAUGUUGUGGCCCAUUGAGCAUUGCUUGGUAUCCUGGAUAUGGAAAACGAUGUGGGUAUGGGGUCUUCAUGGAUCCCUUUUUGCCCUCAUUUAGCAUUCACGUGUCUCUUAAUACGACUCUCCGGCCCGCAUUGGCUCGUACCAGCGGAUCGGUUGUGUCAAAGAUUCGCGUGUCUCUAAGAAUGACUGCCUUCCCCGCAUUGGCUCGUACCAGCGGGUGGGUUUUGUCUAAGAGGAAUGCUACCUGGUUGAUCCUGCCAGUAGUCAUAUGCUUGUCUCAU